AUUGAACGCUGGCGGCAUGCCUUACACAUGCAAGUCGAACGGUAACAGGUCUUCGGAUGCUGACGAGUGGCGAACGGGUGAGUAAUACAUCGGAACGUGCCCGAGAGUGGGGGAUAACGGAGCGAAAGCUUUGCUAAUACCGCAUACGAUCUACGGAUGAAAGCAGGGGACCGCAAGGCCCUGCGCUCAUGGAGCGGACGAUGGCAGAUUAGGUAGUUGGUGGGAUAAAAGCUUACCAAGCCGACGAUCUGUAGCUGGUCUGAGAGGACGACCAGCCACACUGGGACUGAGACACGGCCCAGACUCCUACGGGAGGCAGCAGUGGGGAAUUUUGGACAAUGGGCGAAAGCCUGAUCCAGCCAUGCCGCGUGCAGGAUGAAGGCCUUCGGGUUGUAAACUGCUUUUGUACGGAACGAAAAGCCUCUUUCGAAUAAAGAGAGGUCAUGACGGUACCGUAAGAAUAAGCACCGGCUAACUACGUGCCAGCAGCCGCCGUAA
rnacentral:rRNA from 1 species